CCGCUGAACUUAAGCAUAUCAAUAAGCGGAGGAAAAGAAACUAACAAGGAUUCCCCUAGUAACGGCGAGUGAAGCGGGAAGAGCUCAAGCUUAAAAUCUCCGUGCAAGUUUUGCACGGCGAAUUGUAGUCUAUAGAGGCGUGGUCAGCGUGGGCGCUCGGGGCAAGUUCCUUGGAAGAGGACAGCAUGGAGGGUGAUACUCCCGUUCAUCCCUGAGUUGCUCGUGCGUACGACCCGUUUUCUUUGAGUCGCGUUGUUUGGGAAUGCAGCGCAAAGUAGGUGGUAAAUUCCAUCUAAAGCUAAAUAUUGGUGCGAGACCGAUAGCGAACAAGUACCGUGAGGGAAAGAUGAAAAGAACUUUGAAAAGAGAGUUAAAGAGUACCUGAAACUGCUGAAAGGGAACCGAAUCGUUUCCAGUGUCUAUAAUCCGUGGCAUAUUUCAUUGGCGAGUGUGUGCGUGCGUGUGCUGUGGCAGCGGUCUUUAUGGCUGCGCUCGGCGUGUGUGCUGUGUGUGCUUGCUGGUGCCCUGUGCUGCGGUGGGACGUCAAGGUCAGUUCGUAUGCUGCGGGAAAUGGCUGCCGAGGAGGUAGGGCUUACGCUCCGCGUUUGUCUGUUAUAUCUUGGUGGACGAGUCGUCGCGGUUGGGACUGAGGUGCCUACAACGUGCUUUUGAGUGGGUUUGUGUCUCCGUGUGCGCCGUGUGCGGAUAGCUUGCUAUGCGUGUGUGGUUGUGUGUGGAUUGAUGCGGGCCUUAACUUGUUGCCGUUCGGGACGUUGACGAAAUGGAGCGAUCCGACCCGUCUUGAAACACGGACCAAGGAGUCUAACAUGUGUGCAAGUGUUAGGGUGUGGAAACCCCAGCGCGAAAUGAAAGUGAAGGGCAGCGCAAGUUGUCUGAGGUAGGAAACGUUGUGGGCUUCGGUCUGCGGCGUGGCACUAUCGACCGAUCAUGAACCUUCGUGGUGAAAGAUUUGAGUUUGAGCACAUAUGUUGGUACCCGAAAGAUGGUGAACUAUGCCUGAGUAGGGUGAAGCCAGGGGAAACUCUGGUGGAAGCUCGUAGCGAUUCUGACGUGCAAAUCGAUCGUCAAACUUGGGUAUAGGGGCGAAAGACUAAUCGAACCAUCUAGUAGCUGGUUCCCUCCGAAAUUUCCCUCAGGAUAGCAGCAACUUAUUUACGAUAGUUUUAUGAGGUAAAGCGAAUGAUUAGAGGAUUCGGGGAAGAAACUUCCUCGACCUAUUCUCAAACUUUAAAUCUGUAAGACCUGCAGGUUUCUUAAUUGAACUUGUGGAUGUGAAUAUCAAGUUGCUAGUGGGCCAUACGGGGUAAGCUCGUCUGGCG
rnacentral:rRNA from 2 species